CUUAUACUCCCUCCUUUCGGAAAUACUUGUCGGAGAAAUGAAUGUACCUAGAUGUAUUUUAGUUCUAGAUACAUCCAUUUUGGCGACAAGUAUUUCCGAACGGAGGGAGUAUUUA
rnacentral:pre_miRNA from 1 species